UUGGUCGACUCCUUGUUCUGAAUCUAUCAUUGAAGGUGAAGGAGUAGGAGGUUCAUGUUUAGGACACUUGCAAUGACAUUUGCUUUUAUGUUCUUCAAUGUCCCUAUAUUGUAAUUGGUUGACUUCUUCUUCUAAACCUAUCAUUGAAGGUGAAGGAGUAGGAGGUUUAUGUUUAUGACACUUGCAAUGACAUUUGCUUUUAUGUUCUUCAAUGUCCCAAUAUUCUUGGUAGACUCCUUCUUCUGAAUCUAUCACUGAAGAAAAAAGAUUAGGAGGACAUUUGCUGCCAACUCCUUUAUGGUCCAUGCAUUCUUUGUUGGCUCCUUCUUCUGAAUCUAUCAUGGAAGGAGAAGGAGUAGGAGAUCUAUAACAUAUGCCUAUACAUCCUUUGCCUUCCCUGGCCUCAAUUAUUAUG